GCCUGGCUGGCUCAGAUGGUGGAGCAUGUGACUCUUGAUCUCGGGGUUGUGAGUUCGAGCCCCACGUUGGGUG
rnacentral:tRNA from 1 species